rnacentral:rRNA from 1 species
UACGGGGGGGGCAAGCGUUGUUCGGAAUUACUGGGCGUAAAGGGCUCGUAGGCGGCCAACUAAGUCGGAUGUGAAAUCCCCAGGCUUAACCUGGGAAUUGCAUCCGAUACUGGAUGGCUUGAAUCCGGGAGAGGGAUGCGGAAUUCCAGGUGUAGCGGUGAAAUGCGUAGAUAUCUGGAGGAACACCGGUGGCGAAGGCGGCAUCCUGGACCGGGCAUUGACGCUGAGGAGCGAAGCCAGGGGAGCAAACGGGG